GAGAGAGAGAGAGAGAGACAGGAGAGGUAGAGAGCUGUUUCUUCUGCUGUACUUUAAAAGGCACAGAAAUAGCUGAGUCUUGCAGGAGACAACUUGAAGGGCUUUGGUGGUAUAAAUACCUAAAUAUAUAUAUAUAUAUAAAUACCCUGCUUUAAACAGGUUAAAGAGAAACGCUCCGUCACCUGUCACCAGCACACAGAGGGAGAGAGAGAGAAGACAGGAGGAGGAACAUACUGGAACUUACACAAGGAAGAGGGAGAGGUAUCUAGUCUGUAUAUCGGACAGUGGUUGGUACGUGCGUGGAAAACCUCAACUCCUCUACUGUUCUCUAUGACCGGCUGCUCUGAACUCACCUGGACGGACAGAUGAGAAGGAGAGAACACAGAGAAGGACAGUAGUGGAUCAGAGAGAGCUGCACCUCGUCGACAGAGGACGACAGACUACCCACCAAAACCACCGGCUGGCCGACCGACCGACCGACUCCUCCCUUUCGGUGGCUUUAUUGAAUGGGUCCGUGGGCACAGCGGAGCUGGAGAAUUUACAAUACGUGUCCCUCAGGAGUACUCCUGUCCUACACGCGUAGCUGUGCCCCGAGCAGCGAGCUGCGAAACACAGCCAAUAAAUCAAUAGCAGGGACCUCUGAUUCCUCCAUUACACCACCACCCCCCCAGCAGCUGAGCUACAGAUGAGAACCUGCUGACCAGGGCCUAACCACCACAGCCCCUGGAGGACAGCCGUGGAGGACAGCCCUGGAGGACAGCCCUGGAGGACAGCCCUGGAGGACAGCCCUGGGGGACAGCCGUGGAGGACAGCCCUGGUUCUGGACCCUCUCUAACCAUCAACACAAGACAAGGGUGUUCUGACUGCGGUGGUGAGGAGGGCGGAGGCCCUGGUUCUGGACCCUCUCUAACCAUCAACACAAGACAAGGGUGUUCUGACUGCGGUGGUGAGGAGGGCGGAGGCCCUGGUUCUGGACCCUCUCUAACCAUCAACACAAGACAAGGGUGUUCUGACUGCGGUGGUGAGGAGGGCGGAGGCCUUGUUGUGGUCCCUCUGGUUCCAUUUGGAGCUACAAUACACCCGAAUGCAGCUAAACACAGAGAAGCCCCACAAUGACAUCUUGAAAAUACUUAUUUUAUAGUUAUUUUCUCUCUCCUCUUAUUUCUAGACCUUCGAGUCCUUGUGUUUUUAUUCAAGCGGGUUUUUACACAGGGAGAAAAUAACACGAGUAUAAGCAUUGUCCGUGAUGCUGCUUUUUGAGGAUUACGUCUUGAUGUUUGACAGGGAAAUUUAAUUCAGGCUUUAAAAACCCCCGUCCCAGUAUUUCCCAUGUCCUCUGUCGCCAUAGUAAUCAAGGUCGUCCACGUUCAGAGUGUUAUUUGAGACUGAGCAACAAUAGCAUGACCGUAUACACACUCCAUCUCAAGGGCCCCAGCCUUAAUCCACCGGCCCCUGGAACAAAUCAUAUCUGAUGUGUGAAAAGAAAAAGAGACAACCCAACAGAACCCAACAGAACCCAACAGAACCCAACAGAACAGAACCCAACAGAACCCAACAGAACCCAACAGAACCCAACAGAACCCAACAGAACCCAACAGAACCCAACAGAACCCAACCCAACAGAACACAACAGAACCCAACACAACAGAACCCAACAGAACCCAACAGAACCCAACAGAACAGAACCCAACAGAACCCAACAGAACAGAACACAACAGAACCCAA